GGAGGGGUGGCCGAGUGGAUGAAGGCGCACGCCUGGAGAGCGUGUAUCCCGCCAAAAAGCGGGAUCGUGGGUUCGAAUCCCACCCCCUCCGCAA
rnacentral:tRNA from 1 species